rnacentral:rRNA from 1 species
AACAAACGCUGGCGGCGUGCCUAAUACAUGCAAGUCGAACGGGGAAAGCUUUCGGGUGAGUACUAGUGGCGCACGGGUGAGUAACGCGUGGAUAAUCUGCCUUAGAGUGGGGGAUAACUAGUCGAAAGAUUAGCUAAUACCGCAUAAGACCACAGGAACCGAGGUUCUAGGGGUCAAAGGUUUUUCGCUCUAAGAUGAGUCCGCGUAAGAUUAGCUAGUCGGUGAGGCAACGGCUCACCAAGGCAACGAUCUUUAACUGGUCUGAGAGGAUGAUCAGUCACACUGGAACUGAGACACGGUCCAGACUCCUACGGGAGGCAGCAGUAGGGAAUAUUGCACAAUGGAGGAAACUCUGAUGCAGCGACGCCGCGUGAGUGAUGAAGGCCUUCGGGUCGUAAAGCUCUGUCGCAGGGGAAUAACACAAUGAAUGUACCCUGUAAGAAAGGAUCGGCUAACUUCGUGCCAGCAGCCGCGGUAAGAC